UCCAGACUCCUACGGGAGGCAGCAGUGGGGGAUAUUGCACAAUGGGGGGAACCCUGAUGCAGCGACGCCGCGUGGGUGAAGGAGCGUUUCGGCGCGUAAAGCCCUAUCGGCAGGGAAGAAGGAGGACGGUACCUGACUAAGAAGCCCCGGCUAACUACGUGCCAGCAGCCGCGGUAAUACGUAGGGGGCAAGCGUUAUCCGGAUUUACUGGGUGUAAAGGGGGCGCAGACGGCAGCGCAAGCCAGGAGUGAAAGCCCGGGGCCCAACCCCGGGACUGCUCUUGGAACUGCGCGGCUGGAGUGCAGGAGGGGCAGGCGGAAUUCCUGGUGUAGCGGUGAAAUGCGUAGAUAUCAGGAGGAACACCGGUGGCGAAGGCGGCCUGCUGGACUGCGACUGACGUUGAGGCCCGAAAGCGUGGGGAGCAAACAGGAUUAGAUACCCUAGUAUAC
rnacentral:rRNA from 1 species